GAUGAACGCUGGCGGCGUGCCUAAUACAUGCAAGUCGAGCGAACGGACGAGAAGCUUGCUUCUCUGAUGUUAGCGGCGGACGGGUGAUUAACACGUGGAUAACCUACCUAUAAUACUGGGAUAACUUCGGGAAACCGUAGCUAAUACCGGAUAAUAUUUUGAACCGCAUGGUUCAAAAGUGAAAGACGGUCUUGCUGUCACUUAUAGAUGGAUCCGGGCUGCAUUAGCUAGUUGGUAAGGUAACGGCUUACCAAGGCAACGAUGCAUAGCCGACCUGAGAGGGUGAUCGGCCACACUGGAACUGAGACACGGACCAGAGUCCUACGGGAGGCAGCAGUAGGGAAUCUUCCGCAAUGGGCGAAAGCCUGACGGAGCAACGCCGCGUGAGUGAUGAAGGUCUUCGGAUCGUAAAACUCUGUUAUUAGGGAAGAACAUAUGUGUAAGUAAAUGUGCACAUCGUGACGGUACCUAAUCAGAAAGCCACGGCUAACUACGUG
rnacentral:rRNA from 1 species